UCUUUUUCUUUCUUCUUUGUUCUGUUUCAACUGGGGGGGGAUCGAAGAGCAGAGGGACAAAGAGAGAGAGAGAGAGAGAAAGAGGACCGAGCUGAGCAAACUCAGUGGGGAAGAAGAAGAGGAAGGAUAGGUUGAGGGGAAGAAACCGAAUGGAGGAAGAAGAGGAGGAAGGUUAGGCUUAGGUUCUUGAAGUAAAUUUAUUCUCCUUACCUUAGACGAUUCUAUUCAUUAGUUUAGAUGCGGAUUGAGCCGGUUUUCCUUCAUUCUAGCUCGGUUGGGGUUUCGACUAUUGAUGUGGAUUUCGUUGGUUCAAGACGGCAUAAGAGUCAAUAUGUAAAUGCACUUGUAUGUUUGUAUUGAAGACUCUAAGAUGAGCUAGGAGCUAGACUAGCAGAACAUGAGAACUUUUUGGAUAUCGAGGAUCAAUGCGAAGGAUUUUUGCAAUUAGACCUUAGUUAGUUAAUAAGUAUUCUUUUUGGUAUAGAAUAUAUUUGAAUAUGUUACCACUUGAAACUUUUGGUUACUUUGUUAGUGAUAUGGCUCUCUUGGAAUAUAUAUAUAUAUAUAUAUAUGUAUGUAUGUAUGUAUGUGAGCUUGCUGGAUUGGUUAUAUAUAUUGAAAAAUUUAUGGAAA